GACAGAGGUCCCGAGCGUUGUUCGGAUUCAUUGGGCGUAAAGGGUGCGUAGGAGGUUGGGUAAGUCAGGUGUGAAAUCUCAGAGCUUAACUCUGAAACUGCGCUUGAUACUGCUCAGCUAGAGGAUCGGAGGGGGUAACGGAAUUUAUGGUGUAGCAGUGAAAUGCGUAGAUAUCAUAAGGAACACCGGUGGCGAAGGCGGUUACCUGGAAGAUUCCUGACUCUGAAACACGAAAGCCAGGGGAGCAAACGGG
rnacentral:rRNA from 1 species